CAUUCAUGACUUGCUUAGCGCGAAAAAUCCUUAUAUAUACAAAUAAGUUUUGAAGAUUGGCGAGGCAAGACUUAUAUUUACGACAAGUUUAUGAUUAUCGGUGUUCGAUUUCCGUUAUAUGUUUAUGCAUGCAUUACACUAAAUAUGGCUCAAGAAAUAACAAUCCGACUUAUUCUUGUUGCAGUUGUAUGUUUUGGAGGCUCUUCACUACAAUUUGGAUACAAUCUAGCAGUUGUUAAUGCACCAGAACCAAUUUUGAAAGCGUUUUUUAAAGAUGUAAAAUCAUUCGAUACCUUUUUAUGGCCAUUUGCAGUAGCUAUAUUUGCUAUUGGUGGAAUGUGUGGAGCAUUUAUAGGACCACAUAUUGCAACAAAAGUUGGCAGGAAAAAUACUUUACUUUUAAAUAACAUACUUGCUAUAUGUGGUGGAUUGCUUCUUGCUUUUACAAAGCCUGCUAAAUUAGUUGGGUUGCUUAUAUUUGCUCGUAUUUUGCUAGGAUUAAAUGCUGGUGUAAAUACUGUAGUGGCACCAAUGUAUCUUUCUGAAAUUGCCCCUGUAAAUUUGCGUGGCUCGCUUGGCACAAUAAAUCAAUUUGGUAUUGUAUCAGGACUUCUGCUUGCCAAUAUUUUAGGACUUCCACAACUUUUAGGCACUGAAAAAGGCUGGCCAUAUUUAUUUGGAAUGACUGCAGUUGUUGCUGCUGUUCAGCUAUGUUUACUUCCAUUUUGUCCAGAAAGUCCACGAUUUUUGUUGCUAAAUAAACAAGAUUCUGCUGCUAUAACAAAUUUAAGACUUCUUCGUGGUUAUGAAAAUGUUGAUGAUGAAGUUGAAGCAAUAAAGCUUGAUGUUGAACGGGAUGCAUCUGUGAAGCAUACUACUGUUUUGGAGUUAUUGAUGAAUCGAAACUAUCGUAAACCAUUGAUUAUCAGUAUUGUAAUGCAACUUUCACAACAGCUCUCAGGCAUUGGUGGUAUUUUAUCAUAUUCAACUUCAUUGUUUAUUAAACUUGGUAUGGAUGAGAAAAAUGGCCCUGCUGCAACUUGCGGUGUUGGUGCGUUGAGUGUUGUAAUGACUGGAAUAACAGUUGUUUUAGUAGAGGUUUCUGGUAGAAGAAGGUUGAUGUUAAUUGGCUUAGGGGGAAUGGUUGUAUGUUACUCAAUAGUUACUGUGUCACUAGUUUUUGUUGAGAAAAGUGCUUCGUGGGCAAAAGUAUUAGCAGUGGUUUCAACAUUAGCAAGUGUUACAGCUUUUCAAAUUGGCCCAGGCCCUAUACCAUGGUUUAUUGUUGGAGAGUUGUUUACACAAUCAUCAAUAGCUGCAGCAGUUAGUAUUGCUGGACCCACCAACUGGCUCGGAAAUUUUGCGGUUUCACUUGUGUAUCCAAAAAUGCAGGAUAAAAUCCAUCCUUACACCUUUAUUCCGUUCGAAAUACUACUUAUUUUAUUUUUCUUGUUUACAUAUUAUUUUGUUCCUGAAACCAAAGGCAGAACAGUAGCAGAGAUAUCAGCAGUGUUUAGAAACAACUACGCUUCCACUGAUGUCGAGAAACACGGUUUGAGUUCUUAUUGAUAUUUAUUUCUACUAAAUUCGACUAAUUCAAAGUUGAGUUAUCUUAAUGGACUUUAAGUCAUAAUGACUAAUAUUUUCUAAUAGGUAAAAUCUCAGAGUGAUUUCAUUGGAUCCCAAUAUCUGGAUAAGUCUUUCAUAUAUUGAAUCUUUUGUAUUUUAUUUUAUUGUAAUGAAUUUAUUGAACUGUUUUUUAUUU